GGGCCCAUAGCUCAGUUGGCAGAGCACCGUGCUGAUAACGCGGGGGUGUCUGGUUCGAUCCCAGAUGGGCCCA
rnacentral:tRNA from 1 species